GUCUAAGGCCAUACCAUCCUGAACCACCCGAUCUCGUCUGAUCUCAGAAGCUAAGCAGGAUAGGGCCUGGUGAGUACUUCGAUGGAAAUGGGAUCAAAGAUGGCUUCUUAGAGA
rnacentral:rRNA from 1 species